AGUGAACGCUGGCGGUAGGCCUAACACAUGCAAGUCGAACGGCAGCACAGUAAGAGCUUGCUCUUACGGGUGGCGAGUGGCGGACGAGUGAGGAAUACAUCGGAAUCUACUUUUUCGUGGGGGAUGACGUAGGGAAACUUACGCUAAUACCGCAUACGACCUACGGGUGAAAGCAGGGGAUCUUCGGACCUCGCGCGAUUGAAUGAGCCGAUGUCGGAUUAGCUAGUUGGCGGGGUAAAGGCCCACCAAGGCGACGAUCCGUAGCUGGUCUGAGAGGAUGAUCAGCCACACUGGAACGGAGACACGGUCCAGCCCCCUAGGGGGGGCAGCAGUGGGGAAUUUUGGACAAUGGGCGCAACCCGGCUCCAGCCACACCGGGGGGGUAAAAAAGGCUUUCGGUUUGAAACGCCGUUUUGUGGGAAAAAAAAAGCAGCAGGUUAAUCCCCCGCUGUUCUGGCGGUACCAAAAGAAAAAGCCCCGGCUAACUUCGUG
rnacentral:rRNA from 1 species